UACGAGGGGGGCAAGCGUUGUUCGGAAUUAUUGGGCGUAAAGGGUGCGUAGGCGGUUUGGUAAGUCUUAUGUGAAAUCUACAGGCUCAACUUGUAGUCUGCAUGAGAAACUGCUGUGCUUGAGUGUGGGAGAGGCGCGUGGAAUUGCAGGUGUAGCGGUGAAAUGCGUAGAUAUCUGCAGGAACACCCGUGGCGAAAGCGGCGCGCUGGACCACUACUGACGCUGAGGAACGAAAGCUAGGGGAGCAAACAGG
rnacentral:rRNA from 1 species